rnacentral:rRNA from 1 species
GACGAACGCUGGCGGCGUGCUUAACACAUGCAAGUCGAACGGAAAGGCCCUGCUUUUGUGGGGUGCUCGAGUGGCGAACGGGUGAGUAACACGUGAGUAACCUGCCCUUGACUUUGGGAUAACUUCAGGAAACUGGGGCUAAUACCGGAUAGGAGCUCCUGCUGCAUGGUGGGGGUUGGAAAGUUUCGGCGGUUGGGGAUGGACUCGCGGCUUAUCAGCUUGUUGGUGGGGUAGUGGCUUACCAAGGCUUUGACGGGUAGCCGGCCUGAGAGGGUGACCGGCCACAUUGGGACUGAGAUACGGCCAAGACUCCUACGGGAGGCAGCAGUGGGGAAUAUUGCACAAUGGGCGGAAUCCUGUUGCAGCAACGCCGCGUGCGGGAUGGCGGCCUUCGGGUUGUAAACCGCUUUCGCCUGUGACGAAGCGUGAGUGACGGUAAUGGGUAAAGAAGCACCGCCUAACUACGUG